GAGCGACACCCUGCACACCGCGCCAUGGUGUCAUGGAUCAUCUCCAGGCUAGUUGUGAUUAUAUUUGGCACUCUUUACCCUGCGUAUUAUUCUUACAAAGCUGUAAAAUCAAAGGAUAUUAAAGAAUAUUCAGACAGAAAUUCUACAGCAGAAACUCCUUGUGGAAUAUGAGCAGCGAGUCUGACUACUUUGUCUUUUGGUCGGAUUGAGCAUAAAGGACAAAUUCCUUCUUCAUGUGGGUUUGUGCAUGACUCUGAUUUGUGUUGUGGACUACGCCUAUGUGACAACUUGCUGGGUGACACCUGGCAAAGCCCUUCAGUUCUCCGUGCCUGCACAACAGGGUUCUGAGGCAUUCUUGUCAAUAAGCGUAUCACCAGGCAGCUGUGGAUGGGCUGAGCUUUGGGAUCCUCAGGUCAAAUGGAUGAUGUACUGGAUCAUAUUUGCACUCUUCACGACAGCCGAGACUUUCACAGAUCUCUUUCUUUGCUGGUUUCCAUUCUAUUAUGAACUGAAAAUAGCUUUUGUAGCUUGGUUGCUGUCUCCAUACACAAAAGGCUCCAGCCUCCUGUAUAGAAAAUUUGUACACCCAACACUGUCUUCAAAAGAAAAGCAGCUGCUGAGCUCAUUCAGAAUAACUUCACUUCAACUGGGCAUCAGAGAACCUAAGAGGGUGGGAUACAUGUAUUUUGUUUUCCCUGAAAAUACCACCCUGAAAAUAGUCCUUCCUUUCAUGACAAACUUCAUAGUGUUGGAAAUGCUAACUGAAUGUAGCUGGGGUGACAAGGAAAUUGAUGACUGCCUCGUCCAAGCGAAGGAUCGGAGCUACGAUGCCCUGGUGCACUUUGGGAAACGGGGACUGAACGUCGCAGCAACAGCAGCCGUGAUGGCGGCUUCCAAGGGACAAGGGGCUCUGUCUGAGAGACUCAGGAGCUUUAGCAUGCAGGAUCUCUCAACCAUUCGAGGAGACAGCAGCAGCCCUGUACCUCCUCCAGUCACUGUACGAACAAGCAGCAAACAGAGCAAGCCCAAAACAUCCAAAAGUGUGUCAGAAAGCACGGGCAGCUCAGAUUUAAAAAUGCUGUUGUAAGUGGUUGAGGUAGACAUGGAUGAUGCGUGUGAAAAGCCUCGUGAGGCUAAUUGUGAAACAAAAGACUUAGUGUUCUCAGAUGAUGAAGAGCUUGAUUUAUUGGAUCACAUGGUCAAGAACAGAAGGCUCAAAAAGAAGGAACAAGCUCUUGAGGCACCGCCUAGACCUCUUAGACCUCGCUUCAGGAAGAAAAGUACCUCGACCUCUACCACUGAAACCAUGUGAGUGCGAUGAGCCAAUAGCACCAAGAUCCACAGAAUGUCUCUCUUCUGCCUUAAAGAGCUACUUCCUAAUUAUGUAGAAAAACAGCAGUGAGAUGGAUGUGAUUUGAUGUGCAGCACUUCAGACAUGGCCUUUCUCUCUUCCCUUAAGUUACAUGUUGCUUGCAUUUUCCCAUAACAUGAGAACACUCUCACAGGUGGUAACAGUGUCAGAGUCCCCUGUUUCAUUUGCAGAAUACUACUCAAGCUAACCCUGUCAGGCUUUACAUUUGCAAAUAUUAGUUGAGUCUGCAUAGUUUUAGCUUGUGAAUGCAAACAAACAAAAAAAUACUCAAUAGCUCUCAAUGAUACUUUGACUAAUGUAUCUAUUUAUGGCUUUAUCCUUAAUUAAAUGGACUUGCAGGAGCCAUAGAUUUUUCUCCCUACCCUUCCUCCAUCUUAUAACAAGACUGUGACUGACGUGAGAUAUUUUGAAUUCUUUCGACUAUACAGAAUGUCUGAGACUUAUUAGCAAAAGUUGAGCUGCAACUCCAUUUCUUUUUCUGCAAGUAAAUUAUGUGAACUCCAGUCAAUGUGCUGAAAAUGUAGAGACAACAACUUAGAGAUGAUGAGAAAGAGAGAUGUACAAGAGAAUGAACUGAUUUCACAAAAUAAAGUAGGGGAGUCUUAAUUUUGAUACUCCUGAGCCAGAAGAAGUGAUAUAUUUUGUAGAAAAUGAAAGAAUUAAUCUUAUAACUUUUGAUCAACAUUUUAUUGGCAGUUCUACAAUAUAUGCAAGCCAUGUUUGUAAUAACUGCUACAAUGUUAACCAGAAUCACAUUAGCCAUUGAUUUCAUAGGGUAAAAUUCACUAUCCUCAUCUGCAUGUAGGAACUCACUUCAGGUGUUUUGCUCUCCUGGUGCAGAUGUGGGAAUUGCACUCCCACAGCCAGAGAAGAGCAUUGGAAUUGAGCUCUUCCCUGUGGCUUGGAGAGAAUUUUGCCAGUAUGUGGAUUCUGGUUUAAACCAUGAGACUCUGUAGUUUGGCUGGUGCAUUGGUAUCCAUAUAUAAAUCCUAAAUACAAAAGAAGAGGAAGAAGUUGUAGGAUUUGUGCUUAAAGUUGGUGUCUCCUGUAAAUGUAAAAGCAUGUGAAAUUCAUAAAUGAGUUAGUGGCCCUUUGUGUUUGCUCUUAGCCCUAUCCCAUAGACUAGAAAAACUUUUAGAAUCAUGUGACGUAUGAUUGCCAUUGAUAACUGAUCAAUAAACAGACUUGAUUAUGAAUAAUAUUGUUAACCUAGUUCAGGUACAGAAGUGGCCCAGCAUGCCAAUAACUGGUUAGAGUGCACCAGACUCAGAGAUAAGCAUAUCCGAUGUGGCCUUUGUUAAAUAUUAUCUCCUGGAUAGGCUUCUACAUCUCAGCCUUCUUACUAACUCAUCUUGAGGUAAUCUGAAGCUUCCUUAAAUGGUUUGGGAAGUAAAAAUUACUGCUGUCCCCUCCCCACAAACAUUUGUAUCAGUUUGGUUAGUAAGAGGAAAGGGCAAACAGACAUUUCUUGCGAUUGCCACAAUAUUUGGACCUGUUAUUAGAAAAUCUGAUUUCCCUUAUAAGCACUGAGUAUAUUGUGUUUUGUGAAAACUAUAUGCUAAAAAAAAAUGUGUUCUAGAUGGCAGUUGAAAAAUAUUCUGUCAUUAGAACACACUCAGCAAAAGCUUUGAGUAGCAAAGCUUAUGUAUUUAAGUUAAGCAGCUUUAGAGUCAAUUUGAUUUUUCAGCAAAAAUUAAAAAAAAAAAUAGCAACGUUGCCUGAAGUGUUAGUUGAAAUUAAAAUCCUGUUUCAAGCAAGCUUCAUUUUCAGUUGCUACACAAUAGGGUGCCAUAAGACAAAACGAAAGCUGACAAGUUUGCACUCAAAUUAUGCCAAAAAUAAAAAUAUAUAGCUGCAUAAUGUUUGAUGAAUUCUACUCAGUGUAUUAACAUUCAUCCUCACUAAAGUUAUUAAAUGUCUGACCUGCUGUUUUACUGUAAACUUGACUGUUUUGAUUUUCUUAAAUGCCGAGGUGAAACUGUUGACAAGGGAGUUGCCUUAUCUCUCAAAGACAUUCACUGUAUAACUGAAAAAACACAAACCCCACUUUUCAUAUCGCUGGCAAAAAUGUGUUAUCAACUGAGCUGUGUAUUUGUGUAUAGACUGACAAGAAAUGUGAAUGCCUAAAUACGUAUGCUUAGUGGUAUAGUGUUCUGUACACAGGCUAGAACAAUCACUUGCUUUGAAUUCAGUAUAUUACAGACACAGGUUGUUUACAAAUGCUUCCUCUAAAGGUCUGUCAUUUUAACAUUCAGAUCCGUAUGUUUAUUUGGGAUCGACAUCAGCCGUAUGUUCUUUAGUCCUGACUCUUCUCUCAGGCACUGUCUCCCCUUGGGAAUAACUUCAGUUCAACAAUUGUUGUUGCUACACAUGGGCUGACCCCUAGCAGUAGACAGAGGCAAACCUGGGUUUGCAUCAAUUGAACUAAUCAGAAUAUCACAUGCUAACUGGCCCUUUAAGGGGAAUGGGGCUCUAGCCCCUCCUCUGAUUAAUCAGUUGCCACCCAGCUGAAGCAGUAAGAUCAAGGAGCAGGUAGCAUGAAGAUAACCUGGUUUUCAUCAAUAACAAGAACUCAGGUUGGGGGCAAGGCCCCCUCCAGCAUCAGUCUUCAGCUCUGGGGAAAGAACCCAGUGUAUAUGACUCUCAGGUGGUUGUAAGCCUGUCUGGAGUAGUUAGGCCCCUGCAAAAGACCCCAGCUCAGGCAAUGAUAUGUUGAAUGUGUUAUUUUGAAGAAAUAAAACUAAAGCCUUGAAGAGAAGGGGGACAGAAAUCCUGUGGCUGGAGAAUGUUCUUUGGUGCCUGGGCCAGUGAAUUAGCCUGCACGUUUACACAGGAUUUAUCUUAAUUAUGAAUGGGGUAAACUUUGAGCAACUCACUGCAAACCCUUAUGCCUCCUUGUCUAAAUGUAACUAUCAGUACCAGUGCAGCUACAAUGAUUGUUGAAACAGGGCUAUUUUCAAUUACAGCCAAGACGCCACUUACCCUAGUGUAAAUUGGGAGUAAUUGCCAAGGGAAUUAUACAAGUGUAAACCUGGUAUAACUAAGAAGAGAACCAGGUCUUCUGUUUCUAACAACAAGGGGAGAAAUUACCUUGUGAUUAAAAAAUAAGGACGAAAGGCUUACUAGAAGGAUGUAAUGCUCCCUGGCAUCAUGUAAACAGCCUGCUGCCUUUGACUGUGCUCUGUGAAAUAUCUGUGUUCUCAUGUAGUAAUAUCUAUAUAUUUGUGACAGAAUGCUUGUUAAUCAGUCUUCUUUUGCUGUUUAUUUGUUUCGGGUACCUGUUUUGCACCUAGCACGUAUUUAAAAUUGUAAAGAACACUAUGCGUACUCUUGAGAUUCACACUUAUACAAACAUAUUUAAGGAUCAUAACCUUGCAUUUAAAAGAGGUUUCUUUCCCAUGAUCAGCGUAAAAGAUCUGUGAUAGGACAGUACACUUAAUGCCUCAUAAGGAUGGACAUUACAACAGUAUUCCAAAGGUUGGAGUUUUGCUGGUUUUGUUAUGCUUGAUAUACAUCCUGAAUAAAGUCUUAAUCUUUUCUUUAAAAAAAAAAAUCCACAAAGAAAGCAUCUUCAGUCUGUUCAAUGUAUCUGGCAGGCCAGAAUACUUGUUACUUUUAUUAUUGCAUUAUUUAGUUGUCUUAAUUCUUGCUAACUGUAUAUAGAUGUAUUCACUAAAUGCUGCAUGUCCUUCAGAACGCCUUUCUGUAUUACCAAUUGGUAAAAAAUACAGCUACUAAACCUGU